GCCGCCAUUUUACGUUAAACCGCGAAGCGUGUCUGCUAGGUUGGUUGCAUGCGAGGAGACCGGAACAGAUUCAACACUUCAGUUCGUUAAGUUUAAUUUUUCAUUUGAUUGUUUUUUGUUUUCUUUGACAAAAUGAGUUACGGUCGGCCGCCACCCGACGUGGAGGGCAUGACUUCACUCAAAGUUGACAAUUUGACAUACCGCACAUCUCCAGAAACGCUGAGGCGCGUUUUCGAAAAGUAUGGGCGAGUGGGAGACGUGUAUAUUCCUCGUGAUAGGUACACAAAAGAGAGCCGCGGGUUUGCCUUCGUUCGAUUUAUGGACAAACGGGAUGCAGAGGACGCGAUGGACGCUAUGGAUGGAGCCUUGCUAGAUGGGCGCGAAUUGCGAGUGCAAAUGGCACGUUACGGGCGCCCACCAGACUCCCAUUAUGGGCGCCGAGGGGGGCCCCCGUCGAGAAGAUAUGGUGGUAGUGGUGGUGGGGGUGGAGGAGGAGGUGGUGGUGGUGGUGGAGGUGGUUAUGGACGCAGAAGCCGGAGCCAUAGCCCACGCCGCCGAAGAAGGGGAAGCCGUUCAAGGAGCAGGAGUCGGUCCCGCAGUCGUAGCCGGUCCCGCUACAGCCGCUCAAGGUCCAGGUCCUACUCGCGCUCCCGGUCCAGGUCCAAGACUCGCACGCCGCGAAGGAGCAAGUCCAAGUCGGCAUCCAGAUCUCGCUCCCGGUCAAAGUCCAAGUCCCGCUCCAGAAGCCGCACUCCAGCCUCCAACAAAGGCUCCAAGUCGAGGUCAAGAUCGAGAAGCCGACCCAAGUCUCCUGAAGACAACGAAACGGCACCGUCCUGAGGAAAAGCUGCUGGUUCCUGUUUGCAUAAGAGGAGUAUGGGGUGCAGGUUGAGCAGUUAGUGUGAGAGCCGGCCAUUGGGGCACCCUGCUGUGAUUGGCGGUUGCUAAGGAGCAGGUCGGUGUCUAUGAGUGUUGAGGUGGUUUUGAGCUAAUCGAAAUAUGGUUGAGGACAUCCCAAUGACGUGAGCAGUCCGCCAGGGUACUUUCGCCGGUCUGGACACCAGAAUAAAAGGUUAUUGCUACUUGGGUCUACAUGGUUUUUAAGCAAAGUUUUGUUUAUCUUGUUGCUUUUCAGUGUCCCUACAGACUUCCUCCUGUAUUGCAUCUGUGUCUGUUGUAACUGAUGCGAAUGAUUAUUUUCUUUUUUUAGCUAAGGCCGUGUUGGCUAACCAUUUUUUGUUUGUUUUACCUGACCCUUUGUAUAGCUGAUUUUCACAUUAAAACAUGAUUGAGUCAAUAAAGGAGCAUUUUUAAAGUUCACACUAUUUACCCUUUUUUUACCAGUUUAACAGGGGGAGGAAAAAAAGCAUUUAGGCAAAUGUUGUAGUAAAUAUAAUUUUCAUCUUUGCAGAUGUAACUAACUUGGAUAAAGUUAGACUAUUUGAGUCAACCAGUCUUACUCUGCGCAAUUAAUGUUUAUUUGUCAGCGAGUAGGUGGGGCGAGACUUAUAACUCAUUAACGUAAACAUCAUGCAAGGUCCUUUUUUUUUUUUGCACACAGAAAAUGAAUGCUCCCAUCUGUAUGGAUUUCUCUGCUGUUUGUUGUCAUGCUUCUGCACCAGUGCCCUGACUCUAAUGUUCUCUCUUGUGUAUCUUUUGUGCACUAGGCGCAGUUGCGCUGCAGUUGAGUUUUGCUGGUUAGCUGUUAAAGGUGGCGUGUUGCCGUGCAGAGUGCUUGGCUGUUUCCAGUAUUCUCCUGGUUGCUCCAGUGUAACGCCCGUUAACGCCAGUGAUUUGACGUUUUUUAAGGCACACACUUUGGCUACAGCUGGUCGUCCCUGUGGUUUUGUUUUCUGUAAAAUGGUAUACCGACAUCCCUGACGUUUAAAAAUAAAAUAAAAAAACUCCCAUUCCUCUCCUCUUUUUACCCCCCAACCUCCACCCCUCUGAACUCUCCUCCCCUUCCUCAAAUACUAGAGCGUGUCUAGCCAGAUUAAUCCCCAGAUAACAUGAGCUCCAACCAUCUUGUAUCAUGACUUAAUUAAUGUACUUGCAUUUGUGAACCAUAGGCCUACAUAUUGUAGUUGUAACCGCUAAAAUGAAUGCUAUUAAAUUGUUUUGGUGUA